GCUUUCAACUGUUUUAUUGCUAAACUAUCAUGAUACAAGCCGUAUAAAAAUACUUUACAUAUAGCAAAAAUAAACUACAUUAAACUGGAGAUUAAAAACAUUUUGCAUAGGAAUGUGAUGUAUUCAAACUUCUUUAACAGUCAAGAUUUCGAAAAUCCUAAGCCUUCUAGCACCACCCCGUUGGAGAGCAUUCUUUGUAUUUGUUAGAGAACUAAUUAGGGCGUUGUCAACAUUUCUCCCCUCUAAGGGCUGUAGAGGCAAUGGGAGUAAGGAAGGUUCUUUAACAAGAUGCUCAGGAUGCUAAGCUUGUUCUAACCAAAGCCUCUGUCUGCUCGAGCCAAUCGCAAUGCUGAAGGCACCUGCUCUGCUGGAAACAGUGGCCUUUGCAUCCAAACCCUGAACCAGGCAGGCGUUUGGUCUGCUAACAGCCGCAUCAAGGCAGUGUUAAAUGAUUUUUUUCCAGCACCCAGCACCCCAUCUCCUUUUCAGAGGGGCUUGCUUUAGGGACCAUCUCUAGUUUACCAAUCACAGAAACGUUUGUUUUUAAACAAACUGAGUUAAGAUGGUGAUGGUGGUUGUAACUCCAGGUACUCCUGAAAGCUGAGGGUAAUUGAUGUUUGCAGUCCCGGUUCUGUGUGAUCCUUCUGUAGCUGGAAUGCAGGAAAACACUUGCAUUGGCUGCUUUGGCUCCAUGAGAUUUAUUGCCCAAGCUCCAGGCUUGGGAGAUGGGAGGUUAGGAUGUGUUGGGUGGUACCUGCUAAAGGGUUAUCCCUCCAAAAAAAAUGAGUGCAGGAAAGUGUAGCCCAGCUUAUCAAGAGUGUCACAACCCCCAUGCCUCUUGUAAACAUGAACAAAAACUGUUAGCCGGACCUCUGACAGUCUUUCAAUUCUGGACAAUAGAAAGCACUUGGAAAGUGUUUGACAUGAAAAUAAACACAUUCAGCCCUCCCUUUAGUUCAGAGUGACAAGUAGAACACAUCAGCUUCCAAUCUAAAUGUGACAGCUCCCACACUGGCCAAGGCUGGCUUCCUGAGACCGACGUCUUGGCUACUGGAUGUAAACAAGAAAGGCCACAUCAGUGCUUCCCAGUUUCUAGAAGGAAUCAAUCUGAUUCAUCUAGGGUGUGUCUAUGCUGGAAAACUCUGCAGGUCCUUUAGAUAAUGCGUAUGGGGGUUACCUACCAGGAUUUGGUCAGCUCUGUAAACAUGAGCCUGCCCUUAGGGUUCUGUGAACAUUUUCCAGAAUCCCAUCACAACACAGGCAGUUUUGUUUUUAAAUCAAAAUCACCUCCUGGACUACUGCUUUGGGGGAAUCUCAACACUUCACAAUUCUCCUCCGUGACCAGAGGAAGGCUCAGAGCUGAAGUCCGUGUCCUCUCAAGCAACAAUUAGAAGGUUCCUUCUUCUACAAAGCCAUCCCUUACUCCAGAGACACUUUCUUCUACGACUCAGGUGACUCGACAGACUCGGAGGUGGGUUUUUGUGUUUUGCUUUGGUUUGUUUUUGCUUUUUGUUUUUUGUUGUUUUUCUUUUUUUUUUUUUUUUUUUUUUUUUUUUUUUUUUUUUUGCUAGAAUGAAUUACAAAAUUUCAAGAAUACAUCAUUUCCCUUAGGGGAAAGAAAUCAUCAAUGUAUGUAAAAAGUAACACUUGAAAAAGAUUUCAACCAUUUAUAAAUAUUUUCUGAUUCCAACAGGGGGUGUUGUGUGAUAUUUUCAGGACAGAUAAAAAGCAUAAAAAUACAGAUAAGAAAAUAAAAUUUAAUAACCUACUAAUUUGGAUUGCUCUUAUAUAUUAUCAAGCAGCAAUAUUUUUGUACAAUACAGGAAGACUUGCAAACUUUGGAAAUAUACUACAUUCAGCAACACGGUAGAUUCCUGUUGGCAGUGCUACAUAUUUACAUUACCUUGGAUGUAGCAAGUGCAAACCUCGACCUGAGAUCCUUCUAUCACGUGCAACACACACAUCUUUACCACUUAGACAUCCUUAUUUUCUCCUUCUCUUAGAGGAUCUUAUUGCCUCUUCCCAGACUGAAAAAUAUUUCAUGAGCAAUUCCUCUUGGCAAAACUUCCUCCUGGCAAUUGUUACCGACCCAACUUUCUUGAUAGCUGUCGGCUCCUGAUACACAUUCUCUUACCUGUUUAGGUCUCAAACUAAUGCUUUGGUUUCUCUUUCCUUUGUUAUUCGGUAGAGUUGUUUAUGAAAGUGCUUCCUCUACUAUCCAGCUAGGAGGUCUUAGAAAAAGCUUGUGUGUACAUUAGACACACACACGUACAUAUGUGGGUGGAUCCGUACAAGUGUCUGAACUAGGCGGGAGGCCCUGUUCACCGACAGGAGACUGAUGGAAAACACGUUAGCCCUUGUUCGGCCCAUCCACGUACGAUGAAGCAGAGCAAGUUUGCUACAAUAGCAGGAAGGCACUUGGGUAGAACAUUCAGAUAACCAAGGAAAGGCCAAGUUCCCUCAUGUGCAAAAAAAAAAAAAAAAAAAAAAAAAAA
rnacentral:lncRNA from 1 species